UACGGAGGGGGCUAGCGUUGUUCGGAAUUACUGGGCGUAAAGCGCACGUAGGCGGCUUUGUAAGUUAGAGGUGAAAGCCCAGGGCUCAACCCUGGAAUUGCCUUUAAGACUGCAUCGCUAGAAUUGUGGAGAGGUAAGUGGAAUUCCGAGUGUAGAGGUGAAAUUCGUAGAUAUUCGGAAGGAACGCCAGUGGCGAAAGGCGACUUACUGGACA
rnacentral:rRNA from 1 species